CAAACUUACUUGGAGGCUAAUGGCAUUUUUGAAAAAUUUCAAUCUGGUUUUAAGUUGCGCCAUAGCACUGAAACUGCACUUUUAAGAGUUUUUAAUGAUUUAAUUUUAACUGUUGAUUCUGGCUGUUCCUCAUUUU